GCGGGUAACUUUUUACUCACCCUCGCUGUUAAUCUAGAGGCUGGAGUACAAAGAAGUGGCACAAUGAUGUGGGCUGAUGACAUUUAUAAUUAUCAAGGAAUCACCCCUACAUUCGCUCAGAAUUUUAAUGAAACUGUCCCUUGGGAAGGAAGAACUGAUACAUUGAUAUCACGGUUUGUACAUCCUAUAUAUACAACAAAUUUUAGAACAUUAUAUAACGAAGAACCAGAUCAUCGUGGCCAUGUGAUGUGAAUAAAAGGACUUGAAUUUGAUGAUAUUUUUAUAAUGUUAGAUAACAUAACUAAGUAUCUUCACAGUAAGAUAGGAUGACAUGGUUUACAUGAUCUUAAUGUUGUUCACUUGAGUGAUGAUAUUAUAAGGAAAAGUGUAAUAUCACAGGAUAUUUAUGUUUAGUAACCAGUAAUUCAGAGAUUGGUAUUCAUGGUUACUAUAACGAGGCUGUAGAAACGCACCCUUUCUUCUUUGCAAAUGGUCCUGUAUUUAUGUCUAAGCCGAUAGACCAUAAGGAAUGAUACCGUAUCACACCUAAUCAAGUGCCUUAUGAAACAUCAACAGGAUAUCACAGUAAUCCCUUAUCGACUGAUACGUAAGUAAAAGUUAUGUGUCAUUGUUAUACACAGUUAUGUGUUAUUGUUAUACACAGUUAUUUAUCAUUUUCUAUUAAUUCAGUUGUAGCCACUACAAUAUCUAUGACACUGGUAGUAAUUAUAAGAACAAUAAUGAUGUUCUAUAAGAGGAAAUGAUGAUUAGGAACAAAAACUUACAGGAGAUAUCAUGCGGUGGAUGGAUAAUAUGUAAAAAAUAUUAAGCAGUAUAUGAAUUUUCAUAUUGCGUAGAGAUAACAAAAGUGAAUUUUAAAAAAUGUCGACAUGGUAAUAAGAAAUAGCAUCAUGACAAAGAAUGUAUAAACACAGUUUCAUUUUUUAUAAAUAAAAAUUUGUUGUUCCAGAUUUUGAAAUAUAGUGAAACGUUUAAUUAGUAUCUUAAUAUCUUUAAAUAAUUAUUAUUUUAGAAUCAAUUGUAAUUGUAUCAUACGUACUUUUGAAUUCAUGCAAGAACAUAUGUAAUUUUGAAGUAGUUAUUAUUAGGAAAUUGUUAGACGCGAACAGUAUGCGAAAAGUUAGUAUGUAGUGUAAUAAUUAUCAAUCAAAACACAAGAAUUAAAUUCUUUAGGAAAAAAUUUCCGGAAUUUCUUAUUUACAUGAUUAUAAAGAAAUCCAUAAUAAAAAGGAGCUGCUUUCUAAUACUUCUCUUCCUUGUAAUGCCUACGUUAACAAUAACGAGGUUCGACUUUUUGUUUUUAGA